UUCUGACCGUCGGGAGUGGUUCUGUGACCUCUGGGAGCACCGCCGAAGCUCUGAACUCAGCUUUUGCCACUUGAGACCCUGCUGCCACCGUGUUCCACUGCCGUUACCGUCACCGGUGUUUUUGCUCGCGAUUGUCACUUGGGGUUACUGACGGAGCCACUGCCGGGUUGAUAAGGAGCUGCGCCUGCUUCAUUUUGUUAUUUCAGAGUUAGAAUCCGGUUUGCUUAUGCCGCUUGUAGCUGUUUCUGCUCUUGAGAGAACAAGCCGAGCCGGGUUCUGAAUGC